GUGGCAAACAGGAAUACGGCCCGCCCGAUGGUAAGCGGUAACCGUAGCCCAUGGAUGCCUGUGACUUUUUUAAUACCACGUCGGUGGCAAACAAGCAUACGGCCCGCCUGAUGAUAAGCUGUCACCGUAGCCUAUGGACACCUGCAACUCCAGAGGCAUUACAUGCGCGUUGCCGACCCUUUAAAAACA